GUAGCCGGAUUCGCAUCAAUCCAUAUGUUUUGGGGUGGAUUGGAGUAGAACUUGAACUAAAUUGUACCCUAAUCCACUCCAACACAUGUGGAUUGAGGUGCCAACA
rfam:Sorghum bicolor cultivar BTx623 chromosome 3, whole genome shotgun sequence.